rnacentral:lncRNA from 1 species
AUGACUGCUCUAGAAGCGGGCAAGACUGCUGCAAGGCGCAUGUAGCCAUGGCAUUUCGAUUCGGCCUGACAUUUGUGGUCCUUUACGAUGCCUAUGCACUUGCUUUUUGAGGCGUGAUAGCGACUCGUACUCUGAACUUGGUGUGCAGCUAAAACAGUUCACCUCCCAUCUUUCUUUUAAGGACCACUCCUUCUUUUAUCCAAGAUACCCAGGUCACUUGCCAGGUGUUGCGAGACGUCAGCCUGUAAGCCGGCAAAGGUCAAGUUGUGGCCAUCUGUAGUACAAGUGGCUCGGGGAAGAGCACACUACUCAACCUGGUUGUGCGCUUCUAUGACCCCUGUUAUGGCGAGAUUACUCUGGAUGGCGUGAACUUUAGGUCUUUGAGUGUACGGUGGCUGCGUUCCGAAGUUAGCCUUGUGAGCAAGAGGAC